AUUAACAAUUUUGCUCAGAUGCUUUAGUUUUGUAAUUAAUUAAAGCAACAGUGGCCACUCAUAUAUAAUUAUGUGGUCAACAUGUUUAUAAUGGGUUCGGAAAUCCAUGAAGAACUGCAUGUAUGCCUGAAACUAAUUAUGCAAUUAUUGAUGUAUAUUUCUGUCAGUUUCCUUUAGUAAUAGUUAAUUCAAAUAAAAAUAUUGGAAUUAUAAAAAA